CGCUCCUUGAUUUUAAUUAAUAAGGAGUCGGACCUGCCCAGUGAUAAGUAUUUAACGGCCGCGGUACUCUGACCGUGCAAAGGUAGCAUAAUCAUUUGCCCUAUAAUUGAGGGCUAGUAUGAAUGGUUUGACAAGAACAAUACUGUCUCUUUCAAAAUUUCUAGAAUUUAUUCUUUAGGUGAAGAAACCUAAAUAAGAUUAAAAGACAAGAAGACCCUAUCGAGCUUAAACUCUUUUUAUAAAAUAAAAAAAAUUAAUAAUAUUUUUUGUUAUAAAAAAUUUUGGUUGGGGCGACUAAGGAACAAAAAAAGCUUCUUUAUUUAAUAAAGACAAAUGUGUAUUGAUCCAUAAAAUCUUGAUUAAAAGAAUUAGUUACCGUAGGGAUAACAGCAUAAUCUUUUUUAAGAGUUCUUAUCGAAAAAAAGGUUUGUGACCUCGAUGUUGGACUAAAAUUUCCUAAUAGAUGCAGACGUCUUUAAGGG
rnacentral:rRNA from 1 species